rnacentral:rRNA from 1 species
AUUGAACGCUGGCGGCAGGCCUAACACAUGCAAGUCGAACGGUAACAGGAAACAGCUUGCUGUUUCGCUGACGAGUGGCGGACGGGUGAGUAAUGUCUGGGAAACUGCCUGAUGGAGGGGGAUAACUACUGGAAACGGUAGCUAAUACCGCAUAACGUCGCAAGACCAAAGAGGGGGACUUUCGGGCCUCUUGCCAUCAGAUGUGCCCAGAUGGGAUUAGCUAGUAGGUGGGGUAACGGCUCACCUAGGCGACGAUCCCUAGCUGGUCUGAGAGGAUGACCAGCCACACUGGAACUGAGACACGGUCCAGACUCCUACGGGAGGCAGCAGUGGGGAAUAUUGCACAAUGGGCGCAAGCCUGAUGCAGCCAUGCCGCGUGUAUGAAGAAGGCCUUCGGGUUGUAAAGUACUUUCAGCGGGGAGGAAGGGAGUAAAGUUAAUACCUUUGCUCAUUGACGUUACCCGCAGAAGAAGCACCGGCUAACUCCGUG